CCUCUGUUAAAACACCCAGGCGCAAGAGGCACUCAGAGAUGGCACCCGGAUGGCCUGUUUCUCAGGCGAGCCCCAGCCCCUGAGCACCUCUCCACGAGACCCCAGCCCCACAUCCCUCCUCCUGGGGCCUGAGGCUGGUGCAGAUGCUCAGCACCUGCUAGGGCAGGAGGAGGUUCUCAGGUAGAGGCCUUGCUGAAGGCCCCAAAGCUAAUGGUGGCAGAGCCAGAACUAGAUUCCAGCCCCAGCCCCCUUUCCAAACGACCAUGCUUCUCCAUUAAAAGGUAGGACACUCUUACUUUAGCCCUUAGAAUAUGAAAACAUUUUCUCUGAAGUCAAAGGCUGUUAUAGUUAAAAAUCUGCUUCUAACUAUGAAGGAGUGACCUCCUCAUCACACCGGAACCCAGCCAAACCAGGGAUGCUCAAAGAACACAGUAGAAGAAAGAGGCUCUCAUCCUCAUACCCUCCAGGUCACACCAAACAGCAAGCAAACCCCAUCUCACUCUCCCAGGGUUUUUGAAUGCUCCCGAACAUAACAAAGUCUGCUGAAACUCAGCCCCAUGGGCUCCCGUGCAGCGCAGCUGCUGGGCUGCAGACCUGGCCAGUGCGCCCUGCAGCUCCUCCUCCUUCUUGGCCAGCUGCAGCUUGAGCUCAUCAAUCUGCGCCUGCAGCUCUGCGAUCUGGUCCUGCAGGUCGGUCGUCUCCCCGUCGAGUUUUCUUUUGGCCUUUUCCAGUUCCUGACGAGUCUUUUCUUCCUUCUUUAAGCGUUCUUUAAGGUAAGACAUAAGAAGCUCUUCAACACACCGAGUGACUCACCACAGGAAUAAACUAAAAUACAGACUGAUCCAAGUUGAAAAUAAGCCAUUUUAUUCAAAAGCAUGUCACUGCCCUGAUGACAUGGUCAUGCGCUGAUGUCAACUGCUCAGUCAUUUCAAACCCACCGAGAUCUGGAGGGGAGAUAAAUUAGUGUGGGGAGGGAAUUUUAAGGAAGAAGUUGAGUGUCCUAAGAAUGUCCUUUCAUGGGAGGUGAGACCACACUGUGAGAGCCGAAGGGAGCUGGAAUCCUCUCAUGUCAAACACAUCACUGUACCCAGGUUUGCAAAGUGGCUCAGCAGGUGCUGGGGCAGCAAUCGUAGCUGCCUGUCACCCCAUUCCCUUUUCCAUGGGAACCCCUGUUCUGAACCAAGAAAACUGCCAUCCUCGAGUACUGGGAGAGAGGAGACAGAAGAGUGGGCAGAGAGGGCCAGGCCUUUUCUCCACCCUCCCCUCUAAAAUUCUGCAGUGAUCUCUCAGUUAGCCCUAGUGAUCUAUUUCACUGAAUGAUUUAUUUCCUCACAACAACCUGUAUGCCUUUGUGUUCUCCACCAGGAACCAAUUUGCUGAGAGGAUGAGACCGAGUGUCACAGGCUGAUCAAACAGGUCAACUUUGACUCGAGAGAAAAUAAGUUCUAUCGGCACUGCCUCCCCCAGCAGACUGUACACAAUCACAUGCUGCAGAACGAUGUUUUGGACAAUGAUGAACCGGAUACACGACAGUGGUCUCCUAAGAUGAUCAUGGAGCUGAAAACUUCAUCGAGAGCUGUCAUAACACCACAGUGCAAUUACUCUAUUUUUAAAAUAAAUGUACUGCAGCCUCAGUGUGCCAUGUUGAUAAAGUCUGCAGUCAUGUACAGCAAUGUCCUAGGCCUUCACAUUCACUCAGCGCUCACUCACUGACUCACCCAGAGCAGCUUCCAGUCCUGCAAGCUCCGUUCAUGACAUAGGAAGGUGACAGUACCGGGAACCUCAUCGAAAACAGGUGUUAAGUACAUGCUUGACACCAAGAAUAACAAAAGCAAAGAUGCAAGAGCUCUUUCCUAUGGGUUUUUCCUGAUCAGACUCUGCUAUUUGAAAGGGAUCUGGAAAGAAGUGAGCCAAGCUCACCUUUGUGAAGACUCGCCACCACUGCCAGUGCCGUAAUUUCAGGUACGCG